GUGUUUGUUCAUGUGCCCUUUGGAUUAUUGGAGAGUAUUGUGUAUCUCUUUCUGAAGUUGAGAGUGGCAUUGCAACUAUCAAGCAGUGCCUUGGAGACCUACCAUUUUAUUCAGCUUCCGAGGAAGGUGAAGCUAAUGAUUCUUCGAAAAAGUCUCAGCAAAUAAACUCCACUACUGUUUCAUCUAGAAGACCUGCUGUCCUUGCUGAUGGGACAUACGCUACUCAAAGUGCUGCCUCUGAAACUGCUUUUUCACCCCCGACAGUAGUUCAAGGAUCUUUGACCGCUGGAAAUCUGAGAUCCCUCCUGUUAACUGGUGAUUUCUUCCUUGGGGCAGUUGUUGCUUGCGCCCUGACUAAGCUCAUUUUAAGAUUGGAAGAAGUUCAACCAUCCAAAGUUGAAGUGAACAAAGCAACAACUAAUGCAUUACUGAUCAUUGUCUCAAUGAUACAGCUUGGGCAGUCUUCAGCUCUUCCACACCCAAUUGAUAAUGAUUCCUAUGAUAGGAUGGUUCUAUGUGUAAGAUUGCUAUGUAACACUGGCAAUGAGGUUAGGAAGAUCUGGUUGAACUCUUGCCAUGAGAGUUUUGUUAAAAUGCUUUCUGAUAAGCAGAUGCGAGAGACAGAAGAGAUCAAAGCAAAGGCUCAAAUUUCUCAUUCUCAGCCUGAUGACCUGAUUGAUUUCUACCAUUUGAAGAGUAGGAGGGUAAGCACCCUUCUAUGUGAACAUUUCAAUUCAUUUUUAAACAAGGAAAGAAAGAAUCUUCUAUCUGAGUAUGUGUUUGAUUAACAAGGAGUCACAUGUAGCUCUUUUCUCACACUUCAGUUAAUAUAUUUGUUAAAACUAUCUUAACUGACCAAAAAUUGUAUUAUGAGCUUGUCUUUGUGUAAUGUCACUGGUGUCUACUUUGUGCUGUGUGGGCGUUGCACUGAUGCAGAUUUCUUUGCUAUUUUGUCUCAUCUUUCCACCUUUACUGUCUCAACUCUCUAAGAAAUGUGUUUUAAGUGCUAUUUUCAACAUUUUAUUCCAGCUUUUCCAGAGCUUUUAAGUUAUACUUUUUGUUUCUUUGACUACUGUUUCAAUCACAUUAAGAGAGUCAUUCAUGUUACAUUGCAUGAGUUUCUUUUAGCAUCAAUUUCAAAAUUUGAUUGGAUAUGAAGACUUUCUGNCUUGGGAGAUAACAAUGUCGCUUCUGCAAUUGAUGUGGUCGUUUUUGUCCGUGAGAUUAUUGAAACAAAUCCAAAAUUAAGGGUUUCCAUUGUUACAAGGCUACUGGAUACUUUCUACCAAAUUCGAGCUGCACGUGUUUGUUCAUGUGCCCUUUGGAUUAUUGGAGAGUAUUGUGUAUCUCUUUCUGAAGUUGAGAGUGGCAUUGCAACUAUCAAGCAGUGCCUUGGAGACCUACCAUUUUAUUCAGCUUCCGAGGAAGGUGAAGCUAAUGAUUCUUCGAAAAAGUCUCAGCAAAUAAACUCCACUACUGUUUCAUCUAGAAGACCUGCUGUCCUUGCUGAUGGGACAUACGCUACUCAAAGUGCUGCCUCUGAAACUGCUUUUUCACCCCCGACAGUAGUUCAAGGAUCUUUGACCGCUGGAAAUCUGAGAUCCCUCCUGUUAACUGGUGAUUUCUUC
rnacentral:lncRNA from 1 species